rnacentral:rRNA from 1 species
UUAGAGUUUGAUCAUGGCUCAGAUUGAACGCUGGCGGCAGGCCUAACACAUGCAAGUCGAACGGUAACAGGAAUCAGCUUGCUGAUUUGCUGACGAGUGGCGGACGGGUGAGUAAUGUCUGGGAAACUGCCUGAUGGAGGGGGAUAACUACUGGAAACGGUAGCUAAUACCGCAUAACGCCGCAAGACCAAAGAGGGGGACCUUCGGGCCUCUUGCCAUCGGAUGUGCCCAGAUGGGAUUAGCUAGUAGGUGGGGUAACGGCUCACCUAGGCGACGAUCCCUAGCUGGUCUGAGAGGAUGACCAGCCACACUGGAACUGAGACACGGUCCAGACUCCUACGGGAGGCAGCAGUGGGGAAUAUUGCACAAUGGGCGCAAGCCUGAUGCAGCCAUGCCGCGUGUAUGAAGAAGGCCUUCGGGUUGUAAAGUACUUUCAGCGGGGAGGAAGGGAGUAAAGUUAAUACCUUUGCUCAUUGACGUUACCCGCAGAAGAAGCACCGGCUAACUCCGUGCCAGCAGCCGCGGUAAUACA